CAUGCAGUCGAGCGGCAGCGACACAUUGACCCUUCGGGGGAUUUGUUGGGCGGCGAGCGGCGGACGGGUGAGUAAUGCCUGGGAACAUGCCUUAGUGUGGGGGAUAACCAUUGGAAACGAUGGCUAAUACCGCAUAAUCUCUACGGAGCAAAGAGGGGGACCUUCGGGCCUCUCGCGCUAAGAUUGGCCCAGGUGGGAUUAGCUAGUAGGUGGGGUAACGGCUCACCUAGGCGACGAUCCCUAGCUGGUCUGAGAGGAUGAUCAGCCACACUGGAACUGAGACACGGUCCAGACUCCUACGGGAGGCAGCAGUGGGGAAUAUUGCACAAUGGGGGAAACCCUGAUGCAGCCAUGCCGCGUGUGUGAAGAAGGCCUUCGGGUUGUAAAGCACUUUCAGCAGUGAGGAAGGCGGUAUCGUUAACAGCGGUAUUGUUUGACGUUAGCUGCAGAAGAAGCACCGGCUAACUCCGUGCCAGCAGCCGCGGUAAUACGGAGGGUGCGAGCGUUAAUCGGAAUUACUGGGCGUAAAGCGCAUGCAGGCGGCUUGUUAAGCCAGAUGUGAAAGCCCGGGGCUCAACCUCGGAAUCGCAUUUGGAACUGGUAGGCUAGAGUCUUGUAGAGGGGGGUAGAAUUUCAGGUGUAGCGGUGAAAUGCGUAAGAUCUGAAGGAAUACCGGUGGGCGAAGGCGGCCCCUGGACAAAGAACUGACGCCUCAGAAUGCUAAGCGGUGGGGGAAGCAAACAGAUGAUACCCUGUUAGUCCACGGCGUAAACGAUGUUCUCACUUGGGAGGGUUGGUGGUUCUUGAACACU
rnacentral:rRNA from 1 species